rnacentral:rRNA from 1 species
GUGCCAGCAGCCGCGGUAAGACAGAGGGUGCAAACGUUGCUCGGAAUCACUGGGCGUAAAGGGCGUGUAGGCGGGUAGAUAAGUCGGGCGUGAAAUCCCUAGGCUCAACCUAGGAACUGCACUCGAAACUGUUUAUCUUGAGUGCCGGAGAGGAAAGCGGAAUUCCUGGUGUAGAGGUGAAAUUCGUAGAUAUCAGGAGGAACACCAGUGGCGAAGGCGGCUUUCUGGACGGUAACUGACGCUGAGACGCGAAAGCGUGGGGAGCAAACAGGAUUAGAUACCCUUGUAGUCC